rnacentral:rRNA from 1 species
UACACUCCUACGGGAGGCAGCAGUGGGGAAUUUUGGACAAUGGGGGCAACCCUGAUCCAGCAAUGCCGCGUGAGUGAAGAAGGCCUUCGGGUUGUAAAGCUCUUUUGUCAGGGAAGAAACGGUGGUGGCGAAUAACUACUACUAAUGACGGUACCUGAAGAAUAAGCACCGGCUAACUACGUGCCAGCAGCCGCGGUAAUACGUAGGGUGCAAGCGUUAAUCGGAAUUACUGGGCGUAAAGCGUGCGCAGGCGGUUGUGUAAGUCAGAUGUGAAAUCCCCGGGCUCAACCUGGGAAUUGCAUUUGAGACUGCACGGCUAGAGUGUGUCAGAGGGGGGUAGAAUUCCACGUGUAGCAGUGAAAUGCGUAGAUAUGUGGAGGAAUACCGAUGGCGAAGGCAGCCCCCUGGGAUAACACUGACGCUCAUGCACGAAAGCGUGGGGAGCAAACAGGAUUAGAAACCCUUGUAGUCCC